rnacentral:tRNA from 1 species
GGUUGUGGCUCAGUGGUAGAGUACUUGCCUAGCAUGUGAGAGGCACUGGGUUCAAUUCUCAGCACCA